GUACCACACUGGAGGUGUCCGUAAGGGCUACAUUUUCAUAGGGGCUUGCAGAACCUGCACCAAGGGCAGAUUGUCUUUGCAGGUGACAAGCACUAAAACUUCCUAGACACAGAUGCAAUUAUGCCCAGAGUCCACAAUAAAACGUAAUAAAGUACAGCAACAAAGCAAGAAUUUUAUUAGCACAGAAGUGGAAACAAGAGUAAUUACCGACAAAGGAAGAAUGGCAACUGAAGUUAAUGGAGUAUGCGGAACUGGCCAAAAUGACGGGAAGAAUCCGAGAACAGAGGGACCAGAAGUUCCUCAAGGACUGGACUAAAUUUGUAAAUUAUUUGAAAGACAAUUGUAGUCAAUCAAACAUGUUGGUAGGAUAGCAAGAAACUUUUGAAGGAAAGGUGUAAAAAUCACUGCAGAGAAGAAUAAGAAAAUAUGAUGCUUUGAUGUUUUUGAUUUGCAAGCAAUGGUUAAGUAGUGAAAAUGCAGAAAUUUGAAAUGAAAGAUAGAAAAUCACAAGGAAGGUUUGAAGGAAGUCAUGGGUCUAAAAUGCCAAAAUGUAUAAUGUAAGA